rnacentral:rRNA from 1 species
CUGGAGGACCGAACCGACUAAUGUUGAAAAAUNGCGGAUGACUUGUGGCUGGGGGUGAAAGGCCAAUCAAACCGGGAGAUAGCUGGUUCUCCCCGAAAGCUAUUUAGGUAGCGCCUCGUGAAUUCAUCUCCGGGGGUAGAGCACUGUUUCGGCAAGGGGGUCAUCCCGACUUACCAACCCGAUGCAAACUGCGAAUACCGGAGAAUGUUAUCACGGGAGACACACGGCGGGUGCUAACGUCCGUCGUGAAGAGGGAAACAACCCAGACCGCCAGCUAAGGUCCCAAAGUCAUGGUUAAGUGGGAAACGAUGUGGGAAG